rnacentral:rRNA from 1 species
UGCUAACACCGUGCCUGCAGCCGCGGUAAUACGGAGGGUCCAAGCGUUAUCCGGAAUCAUUGGGUUUAAAGGGUCCGUAGGCUGCCUUAUAAGUCAGCGGUGAAAGUUUUUGGCUUAACCAAAAAAUUGCCAUUGAUACUGUAGGGCUUGAAUAUUUGUGAAGUAACUAGAAUAUGUAGUGUAGCGGUGAAAUGCUUAGAUAUUACAUGGAAUACCAAUUGCGAAGGCAGGUUACUAACAAAUGAUUGACGCUGAUGGACGAAAGCGUGGGUAGCGAACAGGAUUAGAUACCCUAGUAGUC